GUGUUACUUCCUUCGUUGGGAAUUACUCGUUCAAGAAAUGGAUAUAUCUAAAUAUAUUUUAGUUGUAGACACAUCCAUUUUUAUUCAUUUUUGUGACAAGUAAUUCCGAACGGAGGGAGUACAUG
rfam:Triticum aestivum genome assembly, contig: Triticum_aestivum_CS42_TGACv1_scaffold_147253_2BS